AUCAUCGGCCAUUUCGCUGGACGCCUCCGACGAGAUUAGACGAAUUGCGACUGCUCCACGUUUGCAAUCGAGAAGUGUGAUCGCGAGUGCAACAAAGACUAUGAAAGAGAUCAUCGAGAAGCCGUCAAAGAAUGGAGGCAGGGAAGCGCUUAUUCAUCUUCGAUGAUGUCGUUUUUCGAUCGUUAUUCGACGGUGAAGGCGGGAUGGAAUGCCGUUCUUCGGGACCAAUAUCUUGGUGAUGUCUCAUCUCACUGGGGGAGAAGCUUGAUAAAUACUUUUCUUUAAGAAGGAAAAGAGAAUGGAGAAAAUAACAACCGGAAAAUCUGCCGGGACGUGCAUUUUGAACAGAAUACUGCGUCAGUGUCAUUGUGAGUGAUGUCGAUCAGGACGAGGUAUUGUGCAUGUAUAUAAUAAUAUAGACGAUUAAUUCGCUUCGACACUAAACUCGCGUUUGCAAUCGCUUUCUAAUGCGAACAAAUGGCGUUUAUAACAUUAAUGCCAUAAUGACAGCAUAUCAAUCAAUACAUUAUAUUUUGUGUCAGAUACAUUCAUAGAAUAAAGUCUGUAAUAUAAAACUUUACAAGAUAAAGAUGCUCUGAAAAUAAAUUCCAAUCCGCGUUGCAAUAUGAUUUAUGUCAAA